rnacentral:rRNA from 1 species
CCUACGGGUGGCAGCAGUGAGGAAUAUUGGUCAAUGGACGCGAGCCUGAACCAGCCAAGUCGCGUGAAGGAAGAAUGCCCUACGGGUUGUAAACUUCUUUUAUAAAGGAGUAAAGUGAGGCACGUGUGCCUUUUUGUAUGUACUUUAUGAAUAAGGAACGGCUAACUCCGUGCCAGCAGCCGCGGUAAUACGGAGGAUCCGAGUGUUGUCCGGAUUUAUUGGGUUUAAAGGGAGCGUAGUGGGGUUGUUAAGUCAGUUGUGAAAGUUUGCGGCUCAACCGUAAAAUUGCAAUUGAUACUGGCAGCCUUGAGUACAGUUGAGGUAGGUGGAAUUCGUGGUGUAGCGGUGAAAUGCUUAGAUAUCACGAAGAACUCCGAUGGCGAAGGCAGCUUACUAAACUGCCACUGACAUUGAUGCUCGAAAGUAUGGGUAUCAAACAGGAUUAGAUACCCCUGUAGUC